UCUAGUUGUUAGGUCUAUCAAGCCCAUUUCUAGUUGUUAGGUCUAUCAAGCCUAUUUUUCUUCUGAUAUAGUUCACAUGUUGUGGAAGCCAUCUGAUGCGUUUCCAGCUCUAGUCAUCAAUAAUUCACUUAUAGCUAGCUGGUUAAUGAAAGAUGACCAUCAAAAUAACAAUAAAAACAUAUUUUGUGUG